AGUGAACGCUGGCGGUAGGCCUAACACAUGCAAGUCGAACGGCAGCACAGUAAGAGCUUGCUCUUACGGGUGGCGAGUGGCGGACGGGUGAGGAAUACAUCGGAAUCUACUUUUUCGUGGGUGAUAACGUAGGGAAACUUACGCUACUACCGCAUACGACCUACGGGUGAAAGCAGGGGAUCUUCGGACCUUGCGCGAUUGAAUGAGCUGAUGUCGGAUUAGCUAGUUGGCGGGGUAAAGGCCCACCAAGGCGACGAUCCGUAGCUGGUCUGAGAGGAUGAUCAGCCACACUGGAACUGAGACACGGUCCAGACUCCUACGGGAGGCAGCAGUGGGGAAUAUUGGACAAUGGGCGCAAGCCUGAUCCAGCAAUACCGCGUGGGUGAAGAAGGCCUUCGGGUUGUAAAGCCCUUUUGUUGGGAAAGAAAAGCAGCAGGUUAAUACCCCGCUGUUAUGACGGUACCCAAAGAAUAAGCACCGGCUAACUUCGUG
rnacentral:rRNA from 1 species